GAUAACUACUGGAAACGGUAGCUAAUACCGCAUAAUGUCGCAAGACCAAAGAGGGGGACCUUCGGGCCUCCUGCCAUCGGAUGUGCCCAGAUGGGAUUAGCUUGUUGGUGGGGUAACGGCUCACCAAGGCGACGAUCCCUAGCUGGUCUGAGAGGAUGACCAGCCACACUGGAACUGAGACACGGUCCAGACUCCUACGGGAGGCAGCAUG
rnacentral:rRNA from 1 species